UACGGAAGGCAGCAGUGGGGAAUAUUGGACAAUGGGCGAAAGCCUGAUCCAGCCAUGCCGCAUGAGUGAAGAAGGCCUUCGGGUUGUAAAGCUCUUUUAGUGAGAAAGAUAAUGACGGUACUCACAGAAGAAGUCCUGGCUAACUCCGUGCCAGCAGCCGCGGUAAUACGGAGAGGGCUAGCGUUAUUCGGAAUUAUUGGGCGUAAAGAGCGCGUAGGCUGAUUAGUAAGUUAAAAGUGAAAUCCCAAAGCUUAACUUUGGAAUUGCUUUUUAAAACUGCUAGUCUAGAGAUUUGAAAGAGGAUAGAGGAAUUCCUAGUGUAGAGGUGAAAUUCGUAAAUAUUAGGAGGAACACCAGUGGCGAAGGCGUCUAUCUGGUUCAAAUCUGACGCUGAGGCGCGAAGGGCGUGGGGAGCGAAACAGGGAUUAGAUACCCGU
rnacentral:rRNA from 1 species